rnacentral:lncRNA from 1 species
CCGAGCGAGAUGUCGACGAUGACCUCCACCUGCCUUCUGGCUGGUCUUCUCUGCGUGGCAUCCGUGACGUGGGGAGCUGCACCUCCGGCAACGGACUGCAUUAACGUAGAGAUCGGCGACAUUCUGGGUAUUCGCGAGUGUAUCGGCACUUCUUCGAACUUCUGCGGCGGCACCUCCG